rnacentral:rRNA from 1 species
GGGGAAUAUUGGACAAUGGGCGCAAGCCUGAUCCAGCCAUGCCGCGUGAGUGAUGAAGGCCUUAGGGUUGUAAAGCUCCUUUGUCCGGGAAGAUAAUGACUGUACCGGAAGAAUAAGCCCCGGCUAACUUCGUGCCAGCAGCCGCGGUAAUACGAAGGGGGCUAGCGUUGUUCGGAAUCACUGGGCGUAAAGCGCACGUAGGCGGACUUUUAAGUCAGAGGUGAAAGCCUGGAGCUCAACUCCAGAACUGCCUUUGAUACUGGGAGUCUCGAGUUCGGAAGAGGUUGGUGGAACUGCGAGUGUAGAGGUGAAAUUCGUAGAUAUUCGCAAGAACACCAGUGGCGAAGGCGGCCAACUGGUCCGAUACUGACGCUGAGGUGCGAAAGCGUGGGGAGCAAAC